GCGGCGUGCUUUACACAUGCAAGUCGAACGGCAGCACGGACUUCGGUCUGGUGGCGAGUGGCGAACGGGUGAGUAAUACAUCGGAACGUGCCUUUAGGUUCGGAAUAACUCAGGGAAACUUGUGCUAAUACCGAAUGUGCCCUUCGGGGGAAAGAUUUAUCGCCUUUAGAGCGGCCCGCGUCUGAUUAGCUAGUUGGUAGGGUAAUGGCCUACCAAGGCGACGAUCUAUAGCUGGUCUGAGAGGAUGAUCAGCCACACUGGGACUGAGACACGGCCCAGACUCCUACGGGAGGCAGCAGUAGGGAAUCUUGCGCAAAGGGCGAAAGCCUGACGCAGCCAUGCCGCGUGAAUGAUGAAGGUCUUAGGAUUGUAAAAUUCUUUCACCGGGGACGAUAAUGACGGUACCCGGAGAAGAAGCCCCGGCUAACUUCGUGCCAGCAGCCGCGGUAACAC
rnacentral:rRNA from 1 species